rnacentral:rRNA from 1 species
AGCGAACGCUGGCGGCAGGCCUAACACAUGCAAGUCGAACGAACUCUUCGGAGUUAGUGGCGGACGGGUGAGUAACACGUGGGAACGUGCCUUUUGGUUCGGAAUAACUCAGGGAAACUUGUGCUAAUACCGAAUGUGCCCUUCGGGGGAAAGAUUUAUCGCCAUUAGAGCGGCCCGCGUCUGAUUAGCUAGUUGGUGAGGUAACGGCUCACCAAGGCGACGAUCAGUAGCUGGUCUGAGAGGAUGACCAGCCACACUGGGACUGAGACACGGCCCAGACUCCUACGGGAGGCAGCAGUGGGGAAUCUUGCGCAAUGGGCGAAAGCCUGACGCAGCCAUGCCGCGUGAAUGAUGAAGGUCUGAGGAUUGUAAAAUUCUUUCACCGGGGACGAUAAUGACGGUACCCGGAGAAGAAGCCCCGGCUAACUUCG